rnacentral:lncRNA from 1 species
AGAAAAAUUACUAUUAAUCGCCAAGAAAUGUGUCUGGUGGAUAAGUACAUCAUACACAACAUAAAGGUAUGCAGAAACUAUGAAAAUUGUUGAAUAAAAAUGAAUUAUACGAGUUUAGACUAAUUUAUUCUUUUGGUGAUUCCCAUGCAAUGGAAGUUUACUAUUUACUAAUACUACACUUCCAAAUAAAUUUUACAACACUAUACAAAAAUAACAUAUAUAACAGUAUUUAAUUGUUAAAAGGGAAUUAAUUAAUCACAAAGAUAUAAUAAGUAUGAUUUGUAAUUUCGAGGUUGAAAUCUAACUAGGAAUUAAUUAAUCACAAAGAUAUAAUAAGUAUGAUUUGUAAUUUCGAGGUUGAAAUCUAACUAGGAAUUAAUUAAUCACAAAGAUAUAAUAAGUAUGAUUUGUAAUUUCGAGGUUGAAAUCUAACUAGUAAAUUGUAUAAUUUGUAAAGUAUUGUAAGAUUUGUUCAUAAUUUUUAUUUUUUUUUGAGAGAUAGGUAGCACACUACCUGCUUCGUUUAUUUCAUUUAGAAAUAAACUUAGCUAAAAAUGUGAAUCAACUAUGAUUCAAACUUGGGUCUCGGAUACCAACCACCAAGCCCUUUGCCACUCGCUCUAGGGACGGUCGGUUUGUUCAUAAUUUUUUUUUUAUUAUUAUUUGAGUCAAA